UCAGGCCUAACACAUGCAAGUCGAACGAUGAAGCUGGAGCUUGCUCCGGUGGAUUAGUGGCGAACGGGUGAGUAACACGUGAGCAAUCUGCCCUUGACUCUGGGAUAACUGCGGGAAACUGUAGCUAAUACCGGAUACGACACCUUGGGGCAUCCCAGGGUGUGGAAAGAAUUUCGGUCAAGGAUGAGCUCGCGGCCUAUCAGCUAGUUGGUGAGGUAAUGGCUCACCAAGGCGACGACGGGUAGCCGGCCUGAGAGGGUGACCGGCCACACUGGAACUGAGACACGGUCCAGACUCCUACGGGAGGCAGCAGUGGGGAAUAUUGCACAAAGAGGGAAAGCCUGAUGCAGCAA
rnacentral:rRNA from 1 species